CGACGUCGUGGCGCGCGGCCCGACCGAGGCCGCCGGGAUUGGCCCGGCGGAUCGCCGCGAAGACGUCGCGGGCGUCCGACGCGUCGAACGUCGCC
rnacentral:tRNA from 1 species